UCUAGCCCGUAGCUCCAGGGCUAGAGUUGACUCUCGCAAGAGCAGUAAUGUUGCCAUGGUAACCGCGGCAACGCUCUGUGCUCGCGCAAGAAGGACCCAGAGGAGCUGCAGGGUGAGCUCCCAGGUCCUCUCUUCCUCCCCUGCCCGCACGGUGCCUGCGGACAGGGGAGGGGGGGCAUUCUUCCCUCUCUUUCUCCCCCCUCCCCAUCUCUCUAUUCCCCCUCUUUCUCCCCGUGUCUCAUUCUUCCCUCUCUGUCUCUUUCUCCCCCUCCCCAUCUCUCUAUUCCCCCUCUUUCUCCCUGUGUCUCAUUCUUCCCUCUCUGUCUCCCCCCUCCCCAUCUCUCUAUUCCCCCUGUGUCUCAUUCUUCCCUCUCU
rnacentral:lncRNA from 1 species